UGGGGCAUAGCUUAGGAGUAGAGCAUUUGACUGAAGAUCAAGAAGUCCUUGGCUCAAAUCUAGGUCCCCCUU
rnacentral:tRNA from 1 species